AGCGGCAGGACCGUGGACAUCAACGUACUACCCUCUCGCCUUUUACUAGAGGAUACCGUGUCUGCUGUCCGCCAAUGCCGGAAAUACGAAUCUUUCAAAUACCGUUGCCUUCGGGGU
rnacentral:snRNA from 1 species